AUUGAACACUGGCGGUAUGCCUUACACAUGCAAGUCGAACGGCAGCACGGGGGCAACCCUGGUGGCGAGUGGCGAACGGGUGAGUAAUGCAUCGGAACGUGUCCUCUUGUGGGGGAUAACCAGUCGAAAGACUGGCUAAUACCGCAUGAGAUCGAGAGAUGAAAGCGGGGGACCGCAAGGCCUCGCGCGAGAGGAGCGGCCGAUGCCCGAUUAGCUAGUUGGUGGGGUAAGAGCCCACCAAGGCGACGAUCGGUAGCUGGUCUGAGAGGACGACCAGCCACACUGGGACUGAGACACGGCCCAGAAUCCUACGGGAGGCAGCAGUGGGGAAUUUUGGACAAUGGGGGCAACCCUGAUUCAGCCAUGCCGCGUGUGUGAAGAAGGCCUUCGGGUUGUAAAGCACUUUCGGACGGAACGAAAUCGCGCGGGCGAAUAUCCCGCGUGGAUGACGGUACCGUAAGAAGAAGCACCGGCUAACUACGUGCCAGCCGCCGCGGUAA
rnacentral:rRNA from 1 species